GUGUAUCGGAAAGUGCCUUUUUGAUGGCUUCCAAAACGCGAUCGGUACAUGUGAGCGAGGCGGCAUCUUCUGCGCUCACACUGGAGGCUAUUACUCACAUAUGCUCAAGGAGGCUGAGAGAUUCUACCGAUUCUGAUGACAGAAUCGCAGCCGAGUACGAGAAAGACCAUCUCCUUGAACGGCAGGGGAUUAUUAUCGGACUGCGUCUGAUGGAGCGGCUUCUAUACCGAGAACCGGUCUUUGGUGGAACCUCUACCGACAUUGUCCGCUAUGUUGGGUACACAAUGUGGAAGGCCAUCUUCGGCAAAAAGGUUGACUCAAUCAAGGCGAUCGAUAGCAUAUAUCACUUGUCAGACAACGACUUUCGAUGGCUCCAGGGGUUUCCUCAGCUUAAAGGGCAGGACCGCGUCCAGACGCUAGCAAGUUCAGAAGGCGAGGGCUCAAAGGAUGGCUACACCGAGGAGCCAGUCGGCCCUGUGUCGCACAGAGAUGUUCUCCUGUACACAGUUGGUAUUAUCAAGGGUGCCACACAUCCUCUUCUGGGCGAAAGUAGCCUCGCCGUGACGGGAACUCAUACGAAAGAGGGCGAAACCUUUUUCACUCUUGAUUUUAGGUGAAGAGUGACGUGUUUUUUUCUCAGUGCUUUUCCGUGUGAUGUACUGGGAGUGUGAACAAGGAAAAAAUUAGAUGUGUUGUAGCUACCUCGAGUGGUUUCCUCAGGCAGCAAUUAGAAUAAGAGGAUCAGCUGUGCACAACCGUCGCCGCGCGAGCAGUCAUCAUCUUUGAUCAACUUCUCUCUCUUCUCAUUCUACACUUCAUUUCUCAUCCAUCACCUUGAGCUUCACUUUAG
rnacentral:misc_RNA from 1 species